GUUGUUGUGGUUAAAAAGCUCGUAGUUGGAUCUCAACAGCCUUGAAGCGGUUAACUUUGUAGUUUUACUGCUUUGUAGGCUGUGCUUUUGCUGGAGGUUUAGGGGUGCUCUUGAUCGAGUGUCUCUGGAUGCCAGCAGGUUUACUUUGAAAAAAUUAGAGUGCUCAAAGCAGGCUAAAAUGCCUGAAUAUUCGUGCAUGGAAUAAUAGAAUAGGAUGUCGAUCCUAUUUUGUUGGUUUUCGGGACUCGACAUAAUGAUAAAUAGGGACAGUCGGGGGCAUUUGUAUUCAAACGACAGAGGUGAAAUUCUUGGACCGUUUGAAGACAAACUACUGCGAAAGCAUUUGCCAAGAAUGUUUUCAUUAAUCAAGAACGAAAGUUAGAGGUUCGAAGGCGAUUAGAUACCGCCCUAGUUCUAACCAUAAACGAUGCCAGCUAGCGAUCUGCCGGCGUUUUUACUGUAGACUCGGCAGGAAGCUUCCGGGAAACCAAAGCAUUUGGGUUCCAGGGGAAGUAUGGUUGCAAAGCUGAAACUUAAAGGAAUUGACGGAAGGGCACCACCAGGAGUGGAGCCUGUGGCUUAAUUUGACUCAACACGGGAAAUCUCACCAGGCCCGGACACUGGAAGGAUUGACAGAUUGAUAGCUCUUUCUUGAUUCGGUGGGUGGUGGUGCAUGGCCGUUCUUAGUUGGUGGAGUGAUUUGUCUGGUUAAUUCCGAUAACGAACGAGACUCUGUCCUGCUAAAUAGUGUCUACUUCUCUUUUGAGUAGACAUUUCUUCUUAGAGGGACUGGUGACUCUUAGUCACACGAGAUUGAGCAAUAACAGGUCUGUGAUGCCCUUA
rnacentral:rRNA from 1 species